AGCAGUUACUGACCUGCUCAGGAUCCGAAGCUGUGAAAUGACCUGAAUGAGAAGAUAAUGUAAGGCAGCCUAGAAGCUCCUUGUGCAGCUAUACUUCCUGGAGAGACUGUUUCCAGAGGGACUUACUACUUGUCGCACAAACUUAAUGCAUGGAGCCUUGCAAAGGCAUUAGCAAAACUGUUAAUUAUUUACUCUGAACCAAAGAAGAGCAUCUAAUUUAUCAGCUUCCUAGAGAGCAUGAGGUACCAUUGGGGUUUUGAUGAAGACAUGCAAUCUGUCUUUGAGAAGGAUAACACUUGGGGUCUCAUCUCUUGCUUAGACUACUCCAAAUAAACUGCUUGACUAUAUUUCUGUGAAAAAGUACAAGUUUGAAAAUGUGCCUUCAAAUAUUCUCAUAAUGCCCUUUUCACUUGGCAAUAAUGCACCUGAAGAAGAAUAAACAUUUUUGUUUCCUUAGAACCUU